UACAUUGCUCACUUCAUAUAGUAUAUUGAAAGGAAUUCUCUCAUAUUGUGGAUGCACUUUCCUUAGACACUUCAAUAAUUGCGCACUAUUCAAGUGUGCUAAAAAGGAAACUCACCACACUAUGCCAUCCUGCACAAUUCUCACAAAGUACGCCCCAACAACCAUAAGUGCACUAUUUUUCACCAAUAAGCCAAGUUCACCUCAACAAUCUUAGGUGCACAAUUUUCCUUCAAUAAUGUAGCUCACCUCCCUAAUUCAUAAGUGUGUUAUUCUCUCCUCCAUUGAUGAAGCACACCUCAGAUAGAUUCUACCUUAGCGAAUUACCUUAAUUGUACCUUGCGCUCAUGCCACACCUUUCGAUCAUUGUGCAUUCGUCAAGGUUGUGCAUCAAUUAGUGCCCUUAAAGUUUAGAUUAAUCCAUCCACAUCACCAUGUUGUUGUAUUGAAAAGAAAGAAAUUGUAGCCAACCACUCCAUGCUAACAUCUCAUGACUAAUGGUUGGAUUGACAUACUUAAAUCAACAUUAUAGGCAUGAG
rnacentral:lncRNA from 1 species